CGUAGGUGGCAAGCGUUGUCCGGAUUUACUGGGCGUAAAGGGCGUGCAGGCGGUCUGUUAAGUCUAGGGUGAAAGCUCCCGGCUCAACUGGGAGAGGUCCUUGGAUACUGGCGGACUUGAGGGAGGUAGAGGAGAGUGGAAUUCCCGGUGUAGUGGUGAUAUGCGUAGAUAUCGGGAGGAACACCAGUGGCGAAGGCGGCUCUCUGGGCCUUACCUGACGCUGAGACGCGAAAGCGUGGGGAGCGAACCGGAUUAGAUACCCGGGUAGUCCACGCCGUAAACUAUGGACACUAGGUGUGGGGGGUAUCGACCCCCUCCGUGCCGAAGCUAACGCAGUAAGUGUCCCGCCUGGGGAGUACGGCCGCAAGGCUA
rnacentral:rRNA from 1 species